rnacentral:rRNA from 1 species
AACGAACGCUGGCGGCAGGCCUAACACAUGCAAGUCGAGCGCGCCCUUCGGGGUGAGCGGCGGACGGGUGAGUAACGCGUGGGAACGUGCCCUUUUUCUACGGAAUAGUCUCGGGAAACUGGGGGUAAUACCGUAUACGCCCUUCGGGGAAAGAUUAUCGGAGAAGGAUCGGCCCGCGUUGGAUUAGGUAGUUGGUGGGGUAAUGGCCUACCAAGCCGACGAUCCAUAGCUGGUUUGAGAGGAUGAUCAGCCACACUGGGACUGAGACACGGCCCAGACUCCUACGGGAGGCAGCAGUGGGGAAUCUUAGACAAUGGGCGCAAGCCUGAUCUAGCCAUGCCGCGUGAGCGAUGAAGGCCUUAGGGUGUAAAGCUCUUUUCAGGGGGGGGAAGAGUAAUAGACUGUACCCC